rnacentral:sRNA from 2 species
GGGGAAGGAUGAGAAGCUUCGACUAAGGUUCGACUCGAGCGAAGCGAGAGAACGUUGCCGCAGGCAACGGCCCGAAGGGCGAAGCGCUUUAGCGCCGAGUAAUCCUUCCCCCACCACUG